CCAAUUCCAGACUGCCAUGCCGCUUGCUGUAGUGGCAGUUGUGUGGGCAUGGCGAAGCCCAGAGGGAGCCCUUCUUCUGUGGAGGAAGCCCUGAGCCCCACUAGGGACGGCCCUGAGAAUACAAGGACAUUGAAGGAAACAGCCUUGCACCAGAAAUUCAAAGGGAAAGGAAGAAAGGAAAGACUAUUUCAGGUCAUCAACAGGAACACAGGCAGAGCCAUCACUAAAUCCCUACAAGACUUCUUGGAAUCCUAUUCGAUCCAAUAGCCUUUCCGGGUGGACUAUUCUAAUAGUCCCCUCAACACUGCGGAGGCGGGAUGUGAUUUCCCUGCAGCAAUGGUAGUCCUAGAAAAGAAUAUAAUAUCCAAUAAAUCCUGUUCCUUUCCAAGGACUGCAGGAAAAUGAGGAAAAAUCUAUCUCCACCAGGAGCAAAGAUGAAAUACAGCCUGG